UGGUGGUUCACGCCUGUAAUCCCAACACUUUGGGAAGCCGAGGUGGGCAGAUCAUUUGAGCUGAGGAGCUCAAGACCAGCCUGGACAACAUGCUGAAACCCCAUCUCUACUAAAACUACAAAGAAUUAGCCAGGCGUGGUAGCACAUGCCUGUAGUCGCAGCCACUCGGGAGCCUAAGGCAGGAGAAUUGCUUGAACUUCCCCAGCUUCAAGAGGAAGAGUCUGCAGUGAGCCGAGAUGGUGCCACUGCACUCCAGCCUGGGUGACGAGUAAAACUCCCUCUCAAAACAAACAAACAAACCAAAAAAACAAAUAGCAACAGCAACCGCAAUCAUCAUCACCAUCAAGGCUGGAACAAGGAUGAGGCAGGCAGGCUCUGAUAGUAACAGGAGGAAGCAGACCAAGGAGGGAGAGAAAGGAAGGCAGAGAAGGGGAAAAAAAAACACAAAUGAUAAUAAUAGAUGCUGACAUUUACGGAGCACUUACUAUGUGCUGGGAACCAUGCUGAGGGCACACCGAAUCCACUGAACAGUUGGGACCUACUGUUACGUUUUCAAGGCCACCCAGAAAGAAAUUUGAAGUUGGGUUUAUAUCCUUAAUCCCUCAGUUAGAAAAAAAAGAAAAGUGAAGAAACUCCAUCUCCAAGAUCCUGCUAUAUCAACUUCAGUUUUUUGAAGUUAAAUUUGAUUUUUAAAUCCCUUGGCUGAUGAGACCUGUGUGGGUUUUUUUUGUUGUUUUUUUGUUUUGUUUUGUUUUGUUUUAUCAUUUUACCUCUAUUUAAAAAAUAGAGACUUGUGGUUCUUUUUCCAAAAG
rnacentral:lncRNA from 1 species